CUAAAAAUCUAGCCCUCAAACCUCCAUACUACCUCAAAUAAACUAAAAUAUUUUAACAACUGAGUAAAGAUGAUUGAAAAGUUAGUAAGAGCAACAGAUACAGUACCGCAAGGGAAUAAUGAAAUAAAUGAAAUACUUAAGCACAAAGAAGUAGAGACUACCCCUCGUACCUUUUGCAUCAUGAUUUAACUAGUAUAACCAAGCACAAAGAUUUAAAGUUUGGCCCCCCGAAACUAAGUGAGCUACUUCAUGGCAGCCCCCCCGAGCGAACCCACCUCUGUUGCAAAAGAGUGGAAAGACCAUCAAGUAGAAGUGAUAAACCUAACGAACUUAGUGAUAGCUGGUUUCUCAAGAAAAGAAUCUUAGUUCAACCUAAAGAUACAAUAAUAAAUUUAUAUACCUACGUAUACACCCAUAUAUAUAUAAAUAACAACCUAACUUUAGAGUAAUUUAAAUAAGGAACAGCCUAUUUAAAAAAGGAUACAACCUACCCCCGUGGGUAAUGGACCCCCCCCCGACGAAGUCGGCCUAAAAGCAGCCAUCUUACAAAAUGCGUCAAAGCUUAAUCUUACCAAACUUUAAUUUAAAAACUUCCACAAAACCCCACCACCCUACUGAGAACUUCUAUAUAGCAUAUAGAAAAUUUUAUGUUAAAACUAGUAACAAGAAAUUAUUCUCUUCAAUACACGUGUAAGCUAAAAUGGAAUUCCCGCUAGCACUUACUCAGCCCUGAAAAAUAAUAGUAACUCAUUCAAGAAAACUCUAUUUUUUGUUCUGUUAACCUAACACAAGUGUAUUACAAGAAAGAUUAAAAGGGAAAGAAGGAACUCGGCAAAUGGAGACCCCGCCUGUUUACCAAAAACAUCGCCUCUUGUUUACCAUAAGAGGUCCAGCCUGCCCAGUGACAAGAUUCAACGGCCGCGGUAUCCUAACCGCGCGAAGGUAGCGUAAUCACUUGUUUUUUAAAUUAAGACUAGUAUGAAUGGCACCACGAGGGUCAAACUGUCUCCUUUCCUUAAUCAGUGAAACUAAUCCCCCUGUGAAAAAGCAGGGAUAUUAUUAUAAGACGAAAAGACCCUAUGGAGCUUUAAACAAGUAACUACACCUACUUACUGUCUUCUAGUUAUUAGUUUUAGGUUGGGGUGACCACGGAGAAAAACCUAUCCUCCACGAUGAGUGAGCAAUUCUUACUAAAAGCCACAACUUUAUGUAUCAAAAAAUUGACAUACUGACCCAAUAAUUUGAUCAGCGAACCAAGUUACCCUAGGGAUAACAGCGCAAUCCACUUUGAGAGUUCUUAUCAACAAGUGGGCUUACGACCUCGAUGUUGGAUCAGGGUG
rnacentral:rRNA from 1 species